GCGAUUUUGCCAUUUUUUUGUACAGCCCUAAUGUUACCUCCCUUCAAAUGCCCUAGUAUGAAAAAAGUGCCAUAAAAUAAAAUAUAUAUUUAUAUUUAUAUUUAUAUUUAUAUUUUCGUGUCUUCUAUUAACUAAAAAUGACUUUACAAUAAUUUUCAAUUAAAAUUUCAAAUCACGCGAAGUUUUAGAGGCCAAAUUAGAUGGGCUCUUUAAAGAUUUACUUGCUACAAAAUAAAUAAUCCAAAGGUUAAUAAAAAGUAAGUAAUAUAAUGAAUUUGAAUGCAUUUUUCCUCUCUAUUAAUUUGGAGAUAGUGAACCACUCAACAAGGUCCCCCACGUAGAUAAAUAUUUAAUAGUUGGUAUGCAAUUUAAUAAAUUUACUAUUUGUUUGCACCGAUAUCGACAAAGUUAGUGUCAUAUAGAUUGAAAAAAAUAUGUACAAUUAAAUUAAUAAAGAUGGUGACAGAUGGAGACAUAAAGGUAUUAGAUAAGAAAGUUGAUGAGUACACGAAAUGAUACCAAAACCUAAAUUUACAUUUUUAAUUACUCAAACCAAAACUUAUUGUUGUGGUUGGAAUUUUUUGGAGUGAAUUAUUCAAAUGAAUAUUAAAUUUUGUAAAAAGUUUCUACGAGGUUAUUGAACUUUAAAAAUAAUCAAAUUUAUCAUUGAACUUUACAAAAGAUUUCUAUGUAGUUAUCGAACUUUAAAAACCAUCACAUUUAUCAUUGAACUUUGCAAAAUGUUUCAAUUGGGUCACUAAGCUUUGCAAAAUAUUUUUUAGGGGUCACUUCAGUGAUGAAUUAGGUGAUUUUUAAAGUUCAGUGAUCCCGUGAAAACUUUUUACAAAGUUCAGUAAUGAAUUAGAUGAUUUUUAAAGAUCAAUGACCCCGUGUAAACUUUUUACAAAAUUCAGUGACUAUUUGGGUAAUUCACUCAAUUUUUUUUGGCUCCACUGUGGUGUUUUCUAUUGUGUGAAUUGUCCAAUAUAGAAAAAUAAUUCGUAUAGUCAAAUUUUAAAUUUAUUAAAAAUAAUUAUUAUCUAGUGAUUUAGUAGACUUAAGCGUCGAGACAAAGUUGAGAAUGAUAUGAAUAAUAUUUUUUAUUUUAAAAAAUAAUCUCAAUACUAUGUAAAAUCAACCAAUGAAACUUUUAGUCCCCAACUUUCUUUCUAUAUUACUCAGUAGACUAUACUUAUAUGUUUCACUGUGAGUAUGAACACUGUUGUUGAGAUAAUAACCUCUAUAGAAAUGUUGGUAUGAAGAAAAAAAGAGUAAUUUGCACCGCAUCUUCUAGUGUUAUCGAUUAAAAUACUUUUCCAAGAAGGUAUUGAAAAUGCUAGAAAACAUCGAGGAAAAGGAAAUCUUUUCUUUUCAUUUUUUUUUGGUCUGUCUUAAACCUGUAGCAUAGAAGAGAUAGGAAAAGAUCCUAUAUAAAUUUUUAAAUUUAAAACAAAUCAAUCGAUCAAUAUAGGACUCCGACUCUCUAUGAAUUCCAAAAAAUUUUAUGUGGAAUGGGGUUUGAAAGCCUUCUUCCACCAAUUGUUAAAAAGAAACAAAUCACACAAAGACGUACAUUUUAUUGACUUGCAUGUACAAUAUACAAUUUUCGAAAAUGUUCACAUAUUUUAACGUGAAGGUUUACCCUAUGUACAAAUAUUGAACACUUGUGAACGUAUCUAACACAAGAAGGGACUUGACUGGGGGUCGAAGUGGACAUCAAUGGUCCAAUGAAACAAAUUUGAUGUCACUUCUUGAACUUUUCUUAGUUUUUUUUUUUUUGGCUGAGGAAAAAGGUCACAUUGCAUUAUGAAUCUUGGAUUUGAGCCCUCAUUAUGGCUAUUGUUUGUAGGAAAAUGUGUGCGGUCAUGAAAAAAGAAACCUAAUCUAUCUACUCCGUCCAGUCAAGCCAGCCCUGCAUUUUCUUCCAUAAUUGAUGUACUACGCAAUAAUUAGUGUAGAUACUAUAUAUAUAUAUAUAUAUAUAAAGAACUUGAAGUGGCUAAUAAAGAA
rnacentral:lncRNA from 1 species